UAUAUAUAUAUAUAUAUAUAUAUAUAUAUAUAUAUAUAUAUAUAUAUAUAUAUAUAUAUCGUAGACCAAUAUUAUCGAUCAAACUGUUCAAACGAAACAUAUGAGAUAUUCUUAUCGCUAAUAAUAAGGUGUGUACUGAUAAAGGAAACGUGUAAUAAAUGUUCUCACUGAUUAUAUUUUUAGUGAAUGGACAAAAUAUUUUUUGAAAGCAGUUCUUCUAUUUUUUAUUAUUUUAGUUCCUAUUACUAUUUUAAAGUGGACAUCAAUAAAAGAAAGUUUAUCUUAGAAAGAAGAAUUUUUAUGUGACAAGUAAAAAUUGUCUUUUUUGUUUUUAUUCCUUCUUUAAAUAAAUAUUUCAGCCAAUUGGGAAGGAAGAUAUUUUCGUAAGAUGUCGAAGAGGAAGGUUUUCUUUCGGAAUAUAUAUUUCCUAACAAAAUAUGGACAUAUAAGCGAUUGUAUUUAUCGUAAGUGAAAUAUUGACUUUGUCCAAACUUUGGAUGUUCGGACUAAAAGAAAUCAGCGAUUUUGUAUUUUGCUGAAAAAUUAUUUACAUGCAGAUAAAGAAGGAGAGAAGUUUUUAUUAUUGAAAUCGCCACCUAAAAUGCAUUUUUGCUUGCACGCGUUCAAACGAAGCGCUACAAUACAUACACCUGACACGACACAUGUAUUUUUCGUACUCUACUUCCUAUACAUUAUUUCAUUGUUAACUCUACGAAUCGAAUCCGCCACGUAUUCUCAUAGUGAUUAUCAAGUCGCAUUAAUCGAAAGUUGGGAAACAGGUGAACUUUACAUGCGGUUAAUAAAAGCAUGUUCAACUAAUGAGCAUUUAUUCUUUAAUUAAUCGCGAAAAUAAAUGACACGGUUUUCAUAGUAAAGCUGUACUUUACAUUUUGCAUUUUGUCAAUCACUUUAUAGACGCGAAGUCGAAACAUGGGAAUAACGUUUGAGAUCAAAAGGCAAUUCAGCGGUGAGACACGAGAAAAUGUGAUAAGAAAUUUCAGUAAAAGAGCAGAGAUUGAAAGAAACAGUUUUUAGGGAGAUAGUUGAAAGGUAUUGUAUUUCGAAUACAAUUCCCAUGUUUACACUUUACGUUAAAACGAAUAAGGUGAUUAUUAGUUUGUGAAUAUUUUAUAUAUUUAUGCAGAUUCAUAUUUUCUGGAUACAACCAAACAAAUGGAAUCUAAACAAAGAUUUGUUUCACCUAAUAGAUAUUAUAACAGAUAAUACAUUUUAAAUAUAUUAACUUUUAUAUAUUGUUGCAUGUUACAUGCAUCUGAUGCAUCUUAGAUUGUCCCAUAAAUGCAAGAAAUGAUAAUUGGUAAUAAUUUUUAAAAGAUUCAAAGUGGGACACCUUUUGCAUAAUCGUGCGACUCAACAAAAACGACUCUUGUCAAACUUUUAGAUAAUAACGUAUUCUAGUAGAUAGCAGCGAAACUUACAACGAUAAUGGUGUAUAUUGCGAUAUUGUAAAAAAUGCUCAGUGUCGAAUGAAGAUUAAUUUGUUGUUAAAAGUCCUUGCCACGAGGUGCGCAAUUCCGCGAUUUAAUUAAAUAUGAUGUUUCUAUGAUCUAUGUAUUUAUAAAUACAUUUAUAAAGAUUAUGUAAUAUAACGAAUAUUUUGUCAUCAAAAAAUUGAGAUGUAUUAAAGAAAAAUUAAAGACUAUUAUUUUUUCUUGCCUGGGAAUAGACAAACUGGAAAAUGAGGAACAUAUGUUUUGUCAUAAAUCUCUCAAUUUUUGAACUGUUCGACUUCAUUGUUGCAAUAUGUUAUUAAUGUUUAGCUUUGCCAACAAACAAAAAAGGAAACAAAUGACUUAUUUCCAUCAAUUUAUUUAUCGUAAACCGAUAUUGUUAUGAGCCUUUCGAUCGUAAUCUUAAUAUAUUUCAAGUACAAGAAAGUGACUAGCUUUUUUCCUUGAAAUCGAAUCCUUAACUACAUCGAACGUCUGUAUGUCGGUAUGCCCGAUUUCGAUGCAAUUACAAAUCACACACGCUUCUUCAUUAAUGGAAAAGCAAUGGUCCUCGGUUAAUAGCGUUGGCAAUGUCGACAUCUUUUUGCAUGCGUGCCGUUUUAUGGUGGCCAUUGUGAUAUUAAACGCUUAAACGAAGUAUCUAUGUAUGUCUUACGUCUUACGCGAAUGAGAUCGUGCGAAUGCUCGAAGCAACAGGAAGAUACUAUAUCAAUAACAUCGAUAUCUGUUUCUUUAGGCCUUGUGUGAACGUUAAGCGAGUUUAUCCAAAUGUUCGUAAAUACAUAUUAUACAUAUGUAUUGCUUGCAGCUUGUAAUAUCCGAUAGUUGCGCAUAUAUGUGACUUUCAAAUGUAUUAUUUGUAAUUUGUAAAUAAAUUCGAUUGAACCCUCGUGAUUGAGCCAUUUCAGAUUUGAAAUGCGAACGAAAUCAAACAAUUGUACGUAUUUAUAAUUUUCAUUAUUCGAUAUAGUUUGGAUAGUUGUAUAGCGUCCUUGAUUGUUGUUGCAUAUCGUGAUUUAUAGUUUUGUAAGUUGCAAAACAUUUAUGAACGACAUUCGCUCUGUUAUUUGUGUCUUCCUGUUCUUAUCUAGUAAGGAAAUUCCUUGAAAAAAUUGCGUUACAAAUACUAUAUAAUUUAAUUUUAUAUAAGUAUAUGUAAAUAAUGUUAAAUAUUAAUUCCUUUAAUAAUAUAUAAAUAUAUAAUUUUGCUAUCAAUAAAACAACGAAAAAAACGGGGGCCAGAAACUAUGUAUAUACGUACGUAUGUGUAUGGGAGAAAAAUGACUGGCUGUGGUGUCGUGUGCUUUGGCAUCCGAGGGUUAAUCAAUCGUUAAAUCAGAGAAUCAACGACGAUAACAAGUUUUCACGUACGAUUUUCCACACAACGCACAACUGAAUGUGGCACGAGCGAAGAAAAACAAUUCUGGAAACUUUUGAAACUACAACUAU